rnacentral:other from 1 species
ACAAUCCUGAUGUGUACGUCGGACAAAUGGCGUUUUGACCGAACACCAUUAACUACGGGAGCCUGAUGUUCUUAUAUCUAGUGCAUGCCACAUUACUUACGUAAUAAGAGUGGAAGCAUGAACUGUAAGACAGGGCACCCACCUGCCGAGAGCGGGUUCAAAACUUCAUCAACUGCGACGGCACGAUUGGGAUUGCC